rnacentral:lncRNA from 1 species
UUUACCGCAUUUUCUAGGCAACAAGAGGUAACUGCACCCAGGAACUUAAAUAUGCAGCAAUGUGCUGUCCAGACUGUGACCGUCCAAAGAUUUUCAAGGACCUAAUGCCACAUAUCAGUGAUCGGCACCCAGAACUGCUGUCAAACGCCGAUGAAGCAUCUAGACAUUUCGAGAUGUCUGACGGCAAGUCUUUGUACUCCCUUCCAAGAGCUCCUGAUGAAACAAAGCUAGAUCGUGAGAUAGUGACCUGUAGACACUGCAACACCCCGCUGGAAACGAAAGAGGUCGAAGAACACGAGAAAAGGUGCCCAGAUCGCUGGCUUGGAUUGUCCCUUUUGUAAAGAACAAGUGGCUGCCAAAAAUAUUGGAGUUCACGUCACGACUCACUGCCCCGCAAAAGAAAAAAGGAGACAGUUCAGACGUUGAGAACACAGAGGCUAAGCAACGGCUGUAACGUCAGCAACAGGAGGACAGAACUGAUUGGUGAUGUCCAGGAAAUGAAGGAGAGAAUAAAAGAGCUAGAAGACACGAUGAAUCGGAUUGAGAAGCCAUUACAGAAGAUUAUUGAAAGACUUUCCCGAGAACAAUAGCAAAUUGACUGCUAAAUGC